rnacentral:misc_RNA from 1 species
UCAACCGUGAGCAGCUGGAAGGAGUGCCGGACUGGCUGCCAAAGCAGCAGCUAACGCUCGGGCUCGACUUGCGGGGAGGAUCGCAGCUGUUACUUGAGAUCGACAGCGAAGCAGUGCUCAGGGACCGCCUCAUCGCAUUGGCUUCCGCGGCCGAUGCGACCCUUCGCGACGCAAAAAUCGUGGCGCUUGGUGCCAAGGUCUUGGGCGAUGCCGUCACCCUUGAACUGACUGAUGCGGCCCAGACGCCCCAGGCCCGUCGUGUGCUUUCAACGCUCGUCACGCCGGUCGGUGCAGGUUUCGGCAACGACAGUCGA